rnacentral:rRNA from 1 species
GAUGAACGCUGGCGGCGUGCUUAACACAUGCAAGUCGAACGAUGAAGCUCAGCUUGCUGGGUGGAUUAGUGGCGAACGGGUGAGUAACACGUGAGUAACCUGCCCUUAACUCUGGGAUAAGCCUGGGAAACUAGGUCUAAUACCGGAUAGGAGCGUCCACCGCAUGGUGGGUGUUGGAAAGAUUUAUCGGUUUUGGAUGGACUCGCGGCCUAUCAGCUUGUUGGUGAGGUAAUGGCUCACCAAGGCGACGACAGGUAGCCGGCCUGAGAGGGUGACCGGCCACACUGGGACUGAGACACGGCCCAGACUCCUACGGGAGGCAGCAGUGGGGAAUAUUGCACAAUGGGCGAAAGCCUGAUGCAGCGACGCCGCGUGAGGGAUGACGGCCUUCGGGUUGUAAACCUCUUUCAGUAGGGAAGAAGCGAAAGUGACGGUACCUGCAGAAGAAGCACCGGCUAACUACGUG